AGGCAGCAGGAGUGAUUCAUACAGAUUUCGAACGAGGAUUUAUUAAGGCGGAAGUAGCGAAUUUCGAUGAUUUUAAAGCGUUGCACAAGGGCGAGAAGGGUAUGGCGAAAGUGAAAGAGGCCGGGAAGUAUCGACAGGAGGGCAAGACUUAUGUCA
rnacentral:rRNA from 1 species